rnacentral:rRNA from 1 species
GAUGAACGCUGGCGGCGUGCCUAACACAUGCAAGUCGAGCGGACGGACGAGACGUUUGCUUCGUUGCUGUUAGCGGCGGGCGGGUGAGUCACACGUGGAUCCCCUACCUAUAAGUCUGGGAUCAUCUCGGGAAACCGUAUCUAAUACCAGAUAAUAUUUUGAACCGCAGGGUUCAUAAGUGAAUGACGGUCUUGCUGUCACUUAUAGAUGGAUCCGAGCUGGAUUGGCUAGUUGGUAAGGUAACGGCUUACCAAGGCAACGAUGCAUAGCCGACCUGAGAGGGUGAUCGGCCACACGGGAACUGAGACACGGUCCAGACUCCUACGGGAGGCAGCAGUAGGGAAUAUUGCGCAAUGGGCGAAAGCCUGACGGAGCAACGCCGCGUGAGUGAUGAAGGUCUUCGGAUCGUAAAGCUCUGUUAUUAGGGAAGAACAUAUGUGUAAUUAACUGUGGACAUCUUGACGGUACCUAAUCAAAAAGCAACGGCUAACUACGUG